rnacentral:rRNA from 1 species
GAUGAACGCUGGCGGCGUGCCUAAUACAUGCAAGUCGAGCGAACAGACGAGGAGCUUGCUCCUCUGACGUUAGCGGCGGACGGGUGAGUAACACGUGGAUAACCUACCUAUAAGAGGGGGAUAACUUCGGGAAACCGGAGCUAAUACCGGAUAAUAUAUUGAACCGCAUGGUUCAAUAGUGAAAGACGGUUUUGCUGUCACUUAUAGAUGGAUCCGCGCCGCAUUAGCUAGUUGGUAAGGUAACGGCUUACCAAGGCAACGAUGCGUCGCCGACCGGAGAGGGUGAUCGGCCACACUGGAACUGAGACACGGUCCAGACUCCUACGGGAGGCAGCAGUAGGGAAUCUUCCGCAAUGGGCGAAAGCUUGACGGAGCAACGCCGCGUGAGUGAUGAAGGUCUUCGGAUCGUAAAACUCUGUUAUUAGGGAAGAACAAAUGUGUAAGUAACUAUGCACGUCUUGACGGUACCUAAUCAGAAAGCCACGGCUAACUACGUG